CCAGUCCAUUCCAAAGCGGUGGCGGAGGAUGAAGACAAGGGUAUCUCUGGCUGAGGGUAAUGAGAACUGAUCCAGUGUAACCGUUGGUUUAGCUGGGGAUUGGGCUUGCUUGGGGCAGUUGCUCUGGCUUGCCUCAAAAUCAAGCGUUGUGUGGAUUGGACUUUCAAGCAUGCAUUGGGGACGCAGGCUCUGCGCUAUGGCAAGCCCUUGACCGUCAUAGGUGCUUUGAUUGGGGUUUUCAGUCUAGCCAACAAGGCUGGGUUGAAGGACUUUGGGGCUGCAUUGGGGGG
rnacentral:misc_RNA from 1 species